ensembl:lncRNA
AAACAAGCGGUAGAAUGGUGAGCCUGGAUAAGCUUUGUCUGAACUUCAUCUUCUACUUCUUUGUAGCUGGCGGAGCUGAAGUGGGGCCAUGAAGAGUCCAGAGGAAGGCAGGACUAAAACAAUCAAGAAAUACAAAGCACCACUUCUUAUGGAUAUGCUAUGUGUAAUCAGACAUCUGUCAUUAGCAGCCGAUAUAUCUGAAAAAAGAGACGGAUAAACUUUUCAGUUCAGCAUGAAAUUUAUGGUCAGAAUGAAAGUGAGAGAAAGAGGAUGAAGAUUCGGAAGCAGUCUGCUGAGAGAAGAUGAGAUGGUCAGAUGACUGGUCUGCUGAUAGAAAAAGCCUUGAGGAAACUGAUAAAUAACACCCUUCUUUUCCAUCAGGUUUUCAGUGUCAGCCUAAGGAUCAAGUGGGAUUUUAAUGUCUGAUUGUACUGGCAGCAAUCAAACCAAUUCCACAAAUCCCAGCCUAUCAUCAUAUCUUUUAGAUGAUGCAUCCUAAAAGAUGACAGUCAUCUACCAUGUGGAAUUUCUCCUCCUGUCUUCCAUUAGAGAGUGCAAAAGUUUCAACAGGAUUUGGAAACAUUCCUUCUGUCUCCUCUACUCAGCCCCUAAAUAGCUGCAGUCCGAUAAUCAAGGAUUUCCUACAGAAAAAAUGUAGUUUUUUUCUCUUGUCUCCUCUGACUUAAAACAGGCAGUGAACCCUAUCUUAUUGUAAAUCAUAUUUAAAUGAGAGAGUGAAGGGCUGUUAAUUUCAAUAUUCCAUGGGCUGUGGCUGAUACUCAGGGCUAAAUCUCUAUACAGUCUUCAGAAGGACAGGAUUUAAAACAAAUCCACCUCUUUUGAGUUUCUGGUGAUUAGAUUUGGCUGGCUUGCUCUGUUAACCACAGAGCUGAAUCUUAUGAGAGAGUUGGCUGUGUCCUAUAGCUAAUAUAACUAGCCCUGCCUACAGAGCUGAUUGCCUUAGGAGCUGAAAUGGGAGUGUCUCUCUGAUGAGAGCCGGUGUAUCUCAGCUAUUGGUGGAACUAACCAUGAGGACUGGUGCAAGAUGAGUAUAUUGAGAGCACACAUUGCUCUAUUUUUCUUCAUUGCAAGGAAGGAAAGCAACAAAGAUCAUCUGAGCUCCCAAGAAUCUAUUAAAAACUUACUGCAUGGGUAAAUGGUAAUUUCCCUGAUAUUGUCCUAUUGCUUAUGAUCCUUUAUAUCCUAAAUGCAAAGGAGAGGUGCAGGGUCUUCCUUAUGACCUGAUACAGUACUUCUUCCCAGAACUUCUCAUGAAUGUUUUCUUGCUGGCCAAAGUUUUUUGAAGCUAGCUGCUAUAGAAGAAGUCUGAUUAUGACAGUUGCAGAGAUGUUACUCAUCUGAUAACAUCAGUGUAAUUUGAAAGAUCGGGAUGCCAAGUUAGAGACAUGGAGUUAUUAAAAUGCAUGGAGUUAUUAAAUGCAUGGAGGAGUAAAAGCUUUUGGCAGAAGAGGGCAGGAUAGAAACUGUAACAAACUUUGAGGUGAGUCUUUAGGGUAAAUAGGAUUGGCGGAAGAAUUAUUAGGCUGGAAAAUGGGAUUCAGUCCUAAGCUUUGGUUAAGAAGAGUUUUCCAGGCACUCAAUGUUAAUAGAAAUAAUGAUGUGGGAAAAUAAUAAAAACUAAACUGGAAAUGCCGAAACCUUCA